UACUGAGCCAUAACGGGAGCUACAAGGUAAUGGAGCCUUUUAUACAUAGUCGUGUUUCUUUAGAUAAUAAACAACGAACAAAUGAAAUCUUUAAAAGCUUCAGAUGUAAAGUUAUUCCCUGUUAAAGUGGCG